rnacentral:rRNA from 1 species
CCUACGGGAGGCAGCAGUGGGGAAUAUUGCACAAUGGGGGAAACCCUGAUGCAGCGACGCCGCGUGAGUGAAGAAGUAUUUCGGUAUGUAAAGCUCUAUCAGCAGGGAAGAAAAUGACGGUACCUGACUAAGAAGCCCCGGCUAACUACGUGCCCGCAGCCGCGGUAAUACGUAGGGGGCAAGCGUUAUCCGGCUUUAAUGGGUGGAAAGGGAGCGGAGACGGCCAGACAAGUCAGAAGUGAAAGCCCAGGGCUCAACCCUGGGACUGCUUUUGAAACUGCCGGGCUGUAGUGCAGGAGAGGUAAGCGGAAUUCCUAGUGUAGCGGUGAAAUGCGUAGAUAUUAGGAGGAACACCAGUGGCGAAGGCGGCUUACUGGACUGUAACUGACGUUGAGGCUCGAAAGCGUGGGGAGCAAACAGGAUUAGAUACCCUUGUAGUC